AGCCCUCAGCGUACAUGCCAGCUAAUUACAGAUGCAGGAGCAAACCCCUGGCCCAUACAUCAAUUUUGAGUCUUGCUCUAUGGCCCAGACUGGAGUGCAGUGGCGUGAUCUUGGCUCACUUCAACCUCCACCUCCCGGGUUCGAGAGAGAUUCUCCUGCCUCAUCCUCCCGAGUAGCUGGGAUCACCGGCGCCCACAACCACACCCGACUAAUUUUUGUACUUUUAGUGGAGACAGGGUUUCACCAUGUUGGCUAGGCUGGUCACAAACUCCCGACCUCAGGUUAUCCAUCUGCCUUGGCCUCCCAAAGUGCUGGGAUUACAGGCGUGAGCCCCCGCACCUGGCCAAGAUCAGCUAGAUUUUGGAAGCAUUGCCUUCUACAGAAUCCACAGUAGUCCGAAGUUCUUCUACGGUUUUUGUCAAACUUUGAUUUUCCAUCUCUAGCUUCAAUAAUCUACUUGAUGUCAACUCAUUCACCUCAUGGCCCAGGGAUUUCUGGGGUGCUAUAAUAUUGAAAAAUACACCAUUGUAUUUACUCUUUACUGUUUUUACUAUGUUUACUCUUUACUAUUUAAAAAGUUGAGUGUAUAUGCAUUGCAUCAUCUGAUCCUUAACUUUAUUAAAAAUUCAAUGAGGUUAUAUAA
rnacentral:antisense_RNA from 1 species